rfam:Picea glauca, whole genome shotgun sequence.
ACAUGCCUACAACAUAGUGUUAAUGCACUGGAUCCCAUUAGAACUCCGCAGUUAAGCGCGUUCAAGCUGGAGUAGUACUCAGAUGGGUGACCGCCUGAGAAUUCCUAGUGUUUUACAUGCC